rnacentral:misc_RNA from 1 species
AGGCAUAUCAGGUCUUGGAGCUACAGGGGGCUGAUGCUUUGAAAUCCACAAUUUCAAGGACUCUAAAAAUGGGGCAACCAUGUAAAGCUUGAGGCCAGUAAUCCCACGAGAUAUUACAGCAUCACUUGCUGGCUGCAGUUCAUCAAGUCGUUGCCAUGCAAUUUCACUGAUCUCCUUUUUCGUAAGUGGUGCAAAGGCAGUGUCAUCCUUCACGCCAGCAAUAAUGUAAAGCUUCACCCUCUGCUGUCCAAACAUCUCUUCAAUGCAUUCCUCUUUGUUGAGAAGGUUUGAAACGUCAAAACCUGUUUCCUCCAAAACUUCUCUGAUGGCACAUGCAUGGUCUUCCUCAUCUUUGUUCUUUUUGCCCCGUGGAAAACUCCAGCUCGUCCCUUUCCAACCCUUCACUAGCAGGCACCUUUCAAAGGUUUCAUCCAAAAUGAUUGCUCCAGUUACAGGAACUCGAACCUUGUAUGAAGUGAAGUCUUUAAAUAUGUCAUCUAUGUGAGCAACAUAAGGUCUCAAUACGUCACAACUGUUAAACAAUAAGGAUGUGAAUUCCUUUAGAUUGAAUGACUUCAGUGAGGGAUUCUUUUCCACUGAAUUGUCUUCAUAGAACCAAUGCGCAUACUCGACGAGGAAUAAAAUUCUCUCAAAUGACUGUUGAUCUUCUUUUGGUACAUUCAAAACAAACCGACUGCAGAGAUCGUCAAGAAGCUCUUGAGGAGGGAGGCCGCCGUUCUUCAACGGAGU